UAGGAGUGACAGCGCAUGCACACACAGACACAGACACACAGCUACUGCCGCACAUCUGCAAGGAGACAGCAAAGUACUUUGUCAGAUUAUUGAGAAUCACUGAAUAGGCAUUUUAUAAGUAUGAGAUGAACAUCUGAAAGCAAGUCUUACUACUUCUUCCUGCUUUUGCUGACAAAUGAUCUGUUUCCAUGUAUUCCCUUAUUCGUCAGAAGGUGGAGAGUGAUUCUCUGCUUUUUAAACCAAGAAGCCCAGGGCCCAUUACUCCUUACAUGGCAGCAUCACCCACCCAGGCUUCACACCCGUCAAGCCAAUGCUUGCUGCAGCCCAGGGGGCCAGACAUGAGGAUUACCGCACAUUAGCAGCACUGACCCCAAGUUUACCACCACCCAGAGUCCCCGUUACCAAAGGGCCUGGGCCACCUUUCUCAGACAUGACAGAGCUGCUGGACUGGAGAAUGUCAGACUCAAUGUGACCACAGAAUAAUAGAAUGCAUGAUGAUCUUAACAACGAAGUUACCUGGAGGAUGAGGCAGAGGGGUUCCAUGGCCACUGACCAGAGCUGACUGGAAUGAACAAAGAUCGGUAUCCUUGAACCCAGACCUCACUGACCUUCUGCCCAGGAGCUGGCAGUCUGGUGGGCAAGAGCAGACUUGUCACAAGCGUGAUGACAUGAGAGAAAACAUCAGUUUCCCACUUGACCAUGAAAAUAAAGGAUGGAUCAAUGCAACUCUACUAACAAUAUCGCCUGCCAAUUUCUGAGUGUCUAAUAAGUGCCAAGUACUUAAAUAUAUUCUUUCACUUAGUCAUUGUAAUGACCCUACAAAAGUGGGUGGUUUCUUCAUCUUACAGACACAA